rnacentral:rRNA from 1 species
CACCGCGGUUAUACGAGAGGCCCAAGCUGACAAUUACCGGCGUAAAGAGUGGUUAAUAGCCCCACCAUACUAAAGCCGAACAUCUCCAAAGUUGUACAACGCACUCGAAGACAUGAAGACCUACCACGAAAGUGACUUUACACUCUUUGAACCCACGAAAGCUAGGGAACAAACUGGGAUUAGAUACCCCACUAUGCCUAGCCCUAAACUUAGAUAGCACACUACCUACACCUAUCCGCCCGGGUACUACGAGCACCAGCUUGAAACCCAAAGGACUUGGCGGCGCUUCACACCCACCUAGAGGAGCCUGUUCUAGAACCGAUGACCCCCGUUCAACCUCACCUUCUCUUGUUCUCCCCGCCUAUAUACCGCCGUCGUCAGCCCACCCUGUGAAGGCCCAGUAGUGAGCAGAAUUGGCAAAGCCCAAAACGUCAGGCCGAGGUGUAGCGAAUGAGAAGGGAAGAAAUGGGCUACAAUUGCUUAAACAGCUAAAACGAAUUGUAACGCUGAAAAUGCAGACAUGAAGGAGGAUUUAGAAGUAAGGGGGCAAAUAGAGUGUCCCCCUGAAAUGGUUCUGAAGCGUGCACACACCGCCCGUCACUCUCCCCAAGUUAGAACAUUAUAUAAUAACUAAACACUUAGCCCUACAAAGGGGAGGCAAGUCGUAA